GACGUAGGGCGCGAGCGUUGUCCGGAUUUAUUGGGCGUAAAGAGCUCGUAGGCGGCUUGUCGCGUCGACUGUGAAAACCCGCGGCUCAACUGCGGGCCUGCAGCCGAUACGGGCAGGCUAGAGUUCGGUAGGGGAGACUGGAAUUCCUGGUGUAGCGGUGAAAUGCGCAGAUAUCAGGAGGAACACCCGUAGCGAAGGCGGCACUCUGGGCCGGAACUGACGCUGAGGGGCGAAAGCGUGGGGAGCGAACAGG
rnacentral:rRNA from 1 species